GCGGGCGUAGCCCAACCUUGGCAGAGGCAGCGGUCUCAGAAGCCGCUCAGUGUGCGUUGACUCCGCCGACCUUCGGUCGGCUCGUCGCCUCGGUGGACCUCUCCGGCUCCGUGCACUUCGUGCACUCCGCUUCGGAUAGCUCCACCUCGGAGCGAAUCGCACCGUCCGCA
rnacentral:tRNA from 1 species